rnacentral:rRNA from 1 species
UACAGAGGGGCAAGCGUUGUUCGGAAUUACUGGGCGUAAAGGGCGCGUAGGCGGCCCGCUAAGUCGAACGUGAAAUCCCAGGCUCAACCUGGGAACUGCGUCCGAUACUGGCAGGCUUGAAUCCGGAGAGGAUGUGGAAUUCCAGGUGUAGCGGUGAAAUGCGUAGAUAUCUGGAGGAACACCGGUGGCGAAGGCGGCAUCCUGGACCGAUAUUGACGCUGAGGCGCGAA